rnacentral:rRNA from 1 species
AUUGAACGCUGGCGGCAGGCCUAACACAUGCAAGUCGAACGGUAACAGGAAGCAGCUUGCUGCUUUGCUGACGAGUGGCGGACGGGUGAGUAAUGUCUGGGAAACUGCCUGAUGGAGGGGGAUAACUACUGGAAACGGUAGCUAAUACCGCAUAACGUCGCAAGACCAAAGAGGGGGACCUUCGGGCCUCUUGCCAUCCGAUGUGCCCAGAUGGGAUUAGCUAGUAGGUGGGGUAACGGCUCACCUAGGCGACGAUCCCUAGCUGGUCUGAGAGGAUGACCAGCCACACUGGAACUGAGACACGGUCCAGACUCCUACGGGAGGCAGCAGUGGGGAAUAUUGCACAAUGGGCGCAAGCCUGAUGCAGCCAUGCCGCGUGUAUGAAGAAGGCCUUCGGGUUGUAAAGUACUUUCAGCGGGGAGGAAGGGAGUAAAGUUAAUACCUUUGCUCAUUGACGUUACCCGCAGAAGAAGCACCGGCUAACUCCGUG